AGCGAACGCUGGCGGCAGGCCUAACACAUGCAAGUCGAACGAACUCUUCGGAGUUAGUGGCGGACGGGUGAGUAACACGUGGGAACGUGCCUUUAGGUUCGGAAUAACUCAGGGAAACUUGUGCUAAUACCGAAUGUGCCCUUCGGGGGAAAGAUUUAUCGCCUUUAGAGCGGCCCGCGUCUGAUUAGCUAGUUGGUGAGGUAAAGGCUCACCAAGGCGACGAUCAGUAGCUGGUCUGAGAGGAUGAUCAGCCACAUUGGGACUGAGACACGGCCCAAACUCCUACGGGAGGCAGCAGUGGGGAAUCUUGAGCAAUGGGCGAAAGCCUGAAGCAGCCAUGCCGCGUGAAUGAUGAAGGUCUUAGGAUUGUAAAAUUCUUUCACCGGGGAAGAUAAUGACGGUACACGGAGAAGAAGCCCCGGCUAAAUACGUG
rnacentral:rRNA from 1 species